GGGAAUCGGGAGCCACUGUCGAUGCAGCGAACGCUCUGGGCGGUUGCCUCUCGCCCCGCAGAGCCGGGCUCCUGUUCUCAGCUCUGUGCUUCUGGGGCUGCGGCUGCAGACCCCGCCUCUCCUUUGCAGGCUGGGUUCAGCCGAGAGGACCCCCAGGAGGCAGGAGCAGGGGGAAAAGAAGAGGGAGAGGGGACUCCUUGUUUCUUAUUUGGGUACUGUCCCCGUGAUUUGGUCCCGUCCUGGUGGCAGUAGCAGAUUGUCCGCUGCCGGCUCCCGUCUCUGCCCCCAGAAGCAGCCUCAUGAUGCCCUCUUAGAGUCUCCAGCCAGCAGCCAGCUGGGCAUCACCCCAUCUGGGAGGCCUGUGUCCCCGCUCUGCCCGGCCCCUUACAUGGUCCUCCAGCACGAGGGGUAAUAGCUGCUUCCUAUUAUUAUUUCUCCAGUGCCCCUCUCCCGUCUUUUUCCUCUCAGCCCCUCCAUCACCUUUGCGACCAACUCCCACGUUAAAUUCCCUCUGUUGAAAUAACUUUUCCGACUGGAGCCCUCAGGGGGUUUUGGCUCUUGUAGAGAACGGAGAGGAGGCGAGGGGAGUGGGAGAAGGGCACAGAGACAGAGUUGGCUUCAGUUUUGUAACUUUGUCCCGAGGCAGAGUAGGGGAAGUGGUGCAUGUGCCCCCGUCGGGGUUCCAGGAGCUGGUUUUAAAGGUUGUACAAGCUACUUCCCCAAAAGUGUUCCUGUGUGUCACCUGGAGAAAGAGAUGAGCGCAAGAACAAGAAAGGAGAAGAAGAAAUAGAGAUGUACAUACCCUUCCUUUCUUUCUUUGUUAGCAAUACAGCAAAGGAAAAUGUUGGGAGGCUUCCUGGCUCGGGGUCACCUUCAGGGAAGGGGAGAGACAGAAGUGGUUCGGGGUCAAAGGGCUCUGUGCUGGCGGGUGCUGGGAGGGGUCUGGACAGAGGGCAACAGGCAAGACCUGUGUUCCCAAGAGGCGGACCAAAGAAGACGCCAGAGUUGGAGGGGGCUCUGCAUGCCGGGGAGGAAGGCGGUGUCUCCCUGGGCUCGGGCCCUCCCUCUGGCCUCUGUCACUUCCCCGCGAGAGGAAGACAGCCUGUCUUUGAACGAAGUAUCCUGAUUGAAGAUGAGGUGUGGGAGUGGGUUAUACUCAGACACGAGUUACUCCUCUUUAUAUCAAAAUAUUCUGUUAAUUGUGUCGGGGCCCGUCAUGUUCCCAUUAAGCCGCCUUACAAAAGACACUCAGAUCACGGCACGGUCGGCUCUGGAGGCCAGCAUACACAGAGUGCUCAGUAGAAUCUAGAAAGAUCUGAGCAACUUGAGUGCUUCAAAGACCUCCCCCUUUGAAUCUUUCAACGGCAGAUGAAGCCAUUUACAGAGGCCACGGAAUGGAGGCUCCCAGGCUUUGAAUUCCCACCUCUCUGAAGAAUCCCACGGGUACGUAAGGGUGCGUGACUCAGGCCGUGAAGAUGGGAGGAAGGGUGUUUUGGGCCUUUACCCGAUAGAAGCUGCCAUCGGCCCAGCAAAUCAAGUAUUCCCUUGCAGACCCAGCUGGUGGGGACAUAGCCCCAGACUGACCACUGUCACCCCUGAGAGAGCUCGCCAGGGGCCCGGGGCAAGAAUGCCGCCAUCUCCCUGUGGCAGGUGCAGUGGGGCUGGGCUCCAGAUGGCACUGCCCAGCUGCUGCAUCUCGGGGCACGGGGGACGCGCCACGUCGAGGGAGCAAACAGGGCCCCUGAGCUGUCCACAGUGUGCGGACACGCCUCUGUGCACGCGCACCUGUGUGUGUGUGUGUGUGUGUGUGUGUGUGUGGCGGUUCAAUGCAGUAAGUCACAG
ensembl:lncRNA